rnacentral:rRNA from 1 species
UACGUAGGGGCAAGCGUUGUCCGGAAUCAUUGGGCGUAAAGCGCGUGUAGGCGGCCCGAUAAGUCCGCUGUGAAAGUCCAGGGCUCAACCCUGGAAUGCCGGUGGAUACUGUCGGGCUCGAGUCCGGAAGAGGCGAGUGGAAUUCCUGGUGUAGCGGUGAAAUGCGCAGAUAUCAGGAGGAACACCGAUGGCGAAGGCAGCUCGCUGGGACGGUACUGACGCUGAGACGCGAAAGCGUGGGGAGCAAACAGG